CGGAGGAAAAGAAACCAACAGGGAUUGCCUCAGUAACGGCGAGUGAAGCGGCAAAAGCUCAAAUUUUAAAGCUGGCACCUUCGGUGUCCGCGUUGUAAUUUUGUGAGGCAUCUCCGGGUGGGGCGCGGGCCUAAGUUCCUUGGAACAGGACGUCACAGAGGGUGAGAAUCCCGUGCUUGGCCGGCAGUCCCCGCUCAUGUGAGGUGUCUUCGACGAGUCGAGUUGUUUGGGAAUGCAGCUCAAAAUGGGUGGUAAAUUUCAUCUAAAGCUAAAUAUUGGUGGGAGACCGAUAGCGCACAAGUAGAGUGAUCGAAAGAUGAAAAGCACUUUGAAAAUAGAGUUAAAAAGUACGUGAAAUUGUUGAAAGGGAAGCGCUUGAGACCAGACUUCGGUAGGGAGUGAUCAGCCGUCCUUCUGGGCGGUGCACUUGCUCCCCUCCGGGCCAGCAUCGGUUGGGGCGGCGGGAUAAAGGUCCCGGGAAUGUGGCUCCUCUCGGGGAGUGUUAUAGCCCGGGUGAAUGCCGCCAGCCUCGACCGAGGACCGCGCCUUCGGGCCAGGAUGCUUGGCAUAAUGGUCUUCAGCGACCCGUCU
rnacentral:rRNA from 1 species